UUUGGUGACUAGAGCGAAGCGGAACCACCCGUUCCCAUCCCGAACACGGUAGUGAAACGCUCCAGCGCAGACGAUACUCGAGGGGCAACUCUCCGGGAAAAUAUGCCGUUGCCAGGG
rnacentral:rRNA from 1 species